UACGGGGGGGGCAAGCGUUGUUCGGAAUUACUGGGCGUAAAGCGCGCGUAGGCGGCUUUUCAAGUCAGACGUGAAAGCCUCAGGCUUAACCUGGGAACUGCGUUUGAUACUGUUAAGCUAGAGUGUGGAAGGGGCUACUGGAAUUCCGUGCGUAGCGGUGAAAUGCGUAGAUAUGCGGAGGAACACCAGCGGCGAAGGCGGGUAGCUGGGCCAACACUGACGCUGAUGCGCGAAAGCUAGGGUAGCAAACGGG
rnacentral:rRNA from 1 species